rnacentral:lncRNA from 1 species
CGAGGUCGGAGAUAUUACAGAAUUUGAUCGGUUGGAAAGAAUUUUAUUAGUGUUUGAUACACACAGUAAUGAUAUAGCCAAUUAGUUCUAAGCUCCCAGGUACGGGAGCAGCUUACUCUAUAUCCACCUUAAUAUUCCGCUAUAUUAAUGGAUAAAACACUUAAUGAUGCGAUGAGAUUGUGCGUUUGUGGGCAAGAAAGACGUGUCACUAUUGCAAAGCCUAGCAAGGAUGGAGAACAGAAACCAAUAGAUCAAAAUGAAGUAGUGAUCUCAUCUCAACGUCGAUCAUGAACUGUAGGUACUGACGGAACUUGCAGGUAUUGACGCGUCCUAACCGCCAGGGGGAGUCCCUAGCAUACUGUAUACCGGAAUACCCGGGCGUUUUCAAAAUCUGAAUUCUGUGUUUGAAAAGGGUGUUCCGUGUUGUAGAUCACUACGAGCAGCUGUUUAACCAUCUGCAGAAGAACCCCCAGGCAGAGGGUAUCACUGGGCUUCUGCUGCUGUACCCGAGAUGUAUCCUGCAUGUGCUGGAGCUCUCUCCUGAAGGAUGCCAGGAUCCUGGUGAUGUCCUACAGUGUUCCGGCCCAUGUGUUCCACGAGUGGGGGUUCAGGUGCCUGAACCUGCCCCUGAGCCUGCAGGAGGAGGCCCGGAGCCCACAGACCAUGGAGAGCUUGGUUCCCGACUGCCUCUCCCUGCUCUACAGGCUGUGCGCACACCUGCUGAAGGGCAGCACAGACCAGGGUGACCGCGAGGAGGGGGAGGCGGGGGAGGAGGUCCAGGAGCAGGACCUGCUGGUGGAGGAGGAGACCGUGGCCCAGCUGUGCCACAGUACCGCCCUGCGCACGCCCGCCUCCUUCCUGCAGGCCUACCACGCGCCCCUGCACGUCCUCAUGGACUCAGGUGAUUCGGAUUCACUACGGGAGUUCAAUAACCACCCCCAUCACACACGGUUCUGGGCCAGGCCGGAUCGUCAGACAGCCAGGCCAAAGUACCUGCUGUCAGGAGGUUGCUGGUUCAAAGCCACCUAAGUACUGUCACUCUGAGCGAGUUACCCAAUGCCUUUGUGCUCACGUACGUCACCAACUAGUG